UAGAACCACGUUCAGUGCCAACCAGCCUCAGA
rnacentral:piRNA from 1 species